rnacentral:tRNA from 1 species
AUUUAAAUAGUUUAAAAAAAAUAUUAGAUUGUGGAUCUAAAGAUAUAUAAAUAUAUUUUAAAUU